rnacentral:rRNA from 1 species
CCAGCAGCCGCGGUAAUACGUAGGUGGCAAGCGUUAUCCGGAAUUAUUGGGCGUAAAGCGCGCGCAGGCGGUCUCUUAAGUCUGAUGUGAAAGCCCACGGCUCAACCGUGGAGGGUCAUUGGAAACUGGGAGACUUGAGUGCAGGAGAGAAAAGUGGAAUUCCACGUGUAGCGGUGAAAUGCGUAGAGAUGUGGAGGAACACCAGUGGCGAAGGCGGCUUUUUGGCCUGUAACUGACGCUGAGGCGCGAAAGCGUGGGGAGCAAACAGGAUUAGAUACCCUGGUAGUCCACGCCGUAAACGAUGAGUGCUAGGUGUUGGGGGGUUCCACCCUCAGUGCUGAAGUUAACACAUUAAGCACUCCGCCUGGGGAGUACGACCGCAAGGUUGAAACUCAAAGGAAUUGACGGGGGCCCGCACAAGCAGUGGAGCAUGUGGUUUAAUUCGAAGCAACGCGAAGAACCUUACCAGGUCUUGACAUCCUCUGACCACUCUAGAGAUAGAGCUUUCCCCUUCGGGGGACAGAGUGACAGGUGGUGCAUGGUUGUCGUCAGCUCGUGUCGUGAGAUGUUGGGUUAAGUCCCGCAACGAGCGCAACCCUUGACCUUAGUUGCCAGCAUUCAGUUGGGCACUCUAAGGUGACUGCCGGUGACAAACCGGAGGAAGGUGGGGAUGACGUCAAAUCAUCAUGCCCCUUAUGACCUGGGCUACACACGUGCUACAAUGGGUGGUACAAAGGGUUGCGAAGCCGCGAGGCCAAGCCAAUCCCAAAAAGCCACUCUCAGUUCGGAUUGUAGGCUGCAACUCGCCUACAUGAAGCCGGAAUUGCUAGUAAUCGCGGAUCAGCAUGCCGCGGUGAAUACGUUCCCGGGCCUUGUACACACCGCCCGUCACACCACGAGAGUUUGUAACACCCGAAGUCGGUGGGGUAACCCUUUUGGGAGCCAGCCGCCGAAGGUGGGACAGAUGAUUGGGGUGAAGUCGUAACAAGGUAAC